GACCGGGAUGGACGCACCUCUGGUGCACCAGUUGUCACGCCAGUGGCACAGCUGGGCAGCUAAGUGCGGAUCGGAUAAACGCUGAAAGCAUCUAAGCGUGAAGCCGUCCUUAAGAUAAGAUAUCCCACUCUUAAGAGUUAAGACCCCUUGUAGACUACGAGGUUGAUAGGCUCAAAGUGUAAGUGCAGUGAUGUACUUAGCUAGCGAGUACUAAUCGGUCGAGGGCUUAAACCUA
rnacentral:rRNA from 1 species